GAUGAACGCUGGCGGCGUGCCUAAUACAUGCAAGUCGAGCGAACGGACGAGAAGCUUGCUUCUCUGAUGUUAGCGGCGGACGGGUGAGUAACACGUGGAUAACCUACCUAUAAGACUGGGAUAACUUCGGGAAACCGGAGCUAAUACCGGAUAAUAUUUUGAAACGCAUGGUUCAAAAGUAAAAGACGGUCUUGCUGUCACUUAUAGAUGGAUCCGCGCUGCAUUAGCUAGUUGGUAAGGUAACGGCUUACCAAGGCAACGAUGCAUAGCCGACCUGAGAGGGUGAUCGGCCACACUGGAACUUAGACACGGUCCAGACUCCUACGGGAGGCAGCAGUAGGGAAUCUUCCGCAAUGGGCGAAAUCCUGACGGAGCAACGCCGCGUGAGUGAUGAAGGUCUUCGGAUCGUAAAACUCUGUUAUUAGGGAAGAACAUAUGUGUAAGUAACUGUGCACAUCUUGACGGUACCUAAUCAGAAAGCCACGUCUAACUACGUG
rnacentral:rRNA from 1 species